GACGAACGCUGGCGGCGUGCCUAAUACAUGCAAGUUGAGCGCUGAAGGUUGGUACUUGUACCAACUGGAUGAGCAGCGAACGGGUGAGUAACGCGUGGGGAAUCUGCCUUUGAGCGGGGGACAACAUUUGGAAACGAAUGCUAAUACCGCAUAAAAACUUUAAACACAAGUUUUAAGUUUGAAAGAUGCAAUUGCAUCACUCAAAGAUGAUCCCGCGUUGUAUUAGCUAGUUGGUGAGGUAAAGGCUCACCAAGGCGAUGUUACAUAGCCGACCUGAGAGGGUGAUCGGCCACAUUGGGACUGAGACACGGCCCAAACUGCUACGGGAGGCAGCAGUAGGGAAUCUUCGGCAAUGGACGAAAGUCAGACCGAGCAACGCCGCGUGAGGGAAGAAGGUUUUCGGAUCGUAAAACUCGGUUGGUAGAGAAGAACGUUGGUGAGAGUGGAAAGCUCAUCAAGUGACGGUAACUACCCAGAAAGGGACGGCUAACUACGUG
rnacentral:rRNA from 1 species